UAUCGUGGACGAAGGCGAGAAAAGCUUUGUGAAUAUCCAAGGAGCCCGUACCGCAAACCGACACAGGUAGAUAGGAAGAAAAUUCUAAGGCCAACGGGAGAAGGGUAGUUAAGGAACUCGGCAAGUUGACCCCGUAACUUAGGGAUAAGGGGUGCUCUCGAAAGAGAGCCGCAGAGAAUAGGCCCAGGCGACUGUUUAGCAAAAACACAGCUCUAUGCUAAAUCGAAAGAUGAUGUAUAUGGGGUGACACCUGCCCGGUGCCGGAAGGUUAAGAGGAGGAGUGAGAGCUCUGAAUUGAAGCCCCGGUAAACGGCGGCCGUAACAAUAACGGUCCUAAGGUAGCGAAAUUCCUUGUCAGGUAAGUUCUGACCCGCACGAAUGGUGUAACGAUCUGGGCACUGUCUCAACUACCCGCCCGGCGAAAUUGUAGUACCGGUGAAGAUGCCGGUUACCCGCGACCAGACGGAAAGACCCCAUGGAGCUUUACUGUAGCUUAAUGUUGAAUUUCGGUAUUUCAUGUACAGGAUAGGUGGGAGACUAAGAAGCAGGGGCGUCAGCUUCUGUGGAGUCAACCUUGGGAUACCACUCUUGAAGUGCUGGAAUUCUAACCUGCGGCCGUGAAUCCGGUCGGGGGACAUCGUUAGGUGGGCAGUUUGACUGGGGCGGUCGCCUCCCAAAGAGUAACGGAGGCGCUCAAAGGUUCGCUCAGCAUGGACGGAAACCAUGCUCUUGAGUGUAAACGCAAAAGCGAGCCUAACUGCGAGACUGACGGGUCGAGCAGUAACGAAAGUUGGAGUUAGUGAUCCGGCGGUAUGUGAGUGGAAAUGCCGUCGCUCAACGGAUAAAAGCUACCCUGGGGAUAACAGGCUGAUCUCCCCCAAGAGUCCACAUCGACGGGGAGGUUUGGCACCUCGAUGUCGGCUCAUCGCAUCCUGGGGCUGUAUUCGGUCCCAAGGGUUUGGCUGUCCGCCAAUUAAAGCGGUACGCGAGCUGGGUUCAGAACGUCGUGAGACAGUUCGGUCCCUAUCUGUCGUGGGCGUAGGAUAUUUGAAAGGAGCUGUCCCUAGUACGAGAGGACCGGGAUGGACGCACCUCUGGUGCACCAGUUGUCACGCCAGUGGCACUGCUGGGCAGCUAAGUGCGGAUCGGAUAAACGCUGAAGGCAUCUAAGCGUGAAGCCGUCCUUAAGAUAAGAUAUCCCAUCAGGUCAACUGAGUAAGACCCCUCAAAGACUAUGAGGUUGAUAGGCCUAAGGUGUACGCAUGGUGACAUGUUCAGCCUGCAGGUACUAAUCGGUCGAGGGCUUGACC
rnacentral:rRNA from 1 species